rnacentral:rRNA from 1 species
CCAGACUCCUACGGGAGGCAGCAGUGGGGAAUAUUGCACAAUGGGGGGAACCCUGAUGCAGCGACGCCGCGUGAAGGAUGAAGUAUUUCGGUAUGUAAACUUCUAUCAGCAGGGAAGAAAAUGACGGUACCUGACUAAGAAGCCCCGGCUAACUACGUGCCAGCAGCCGCGGUAAUACGUAGGGGGCAAGCGUUAUCCGGAUUUACUGGGUGUAAAGGGAGCGUAGACGGCAUGGCAAGUCUGAUGUGAAAACCCGGGGCUCAACCCCGGGACUGCAUUGGAAACUGUCAGGCUAGAGUGUCGGAGAGGCAAGUGGAAUUCCUAGUGUAGCGGUGAAAUGCGUAGAUAUUAGGAGGAACACCAGUGGCGAAGGCGGCCUGCUGGACGACAACUGACGGUGAGGCGCGAAAGCGUGGGGAGCAAACAGGAUUAGAUACCCGAGUAGU